UUUUUAAGUUUUUUUAUAUUAGUUUGUAAUAUGUCGUCCAUAUUAAAUUAAUUACAUGCUUCUUCUAGUAUAGUUUUCUCUUGUUCCUGAUUAAUUCAUCGUCCUUCAAGAUUUGCAAGUUACAGUAGCAGGAAAGAGCAAGUGCACAAAAGUGGAUCUUGAGAACGAGACGAAUCCUAAGUGGAAUACCACACUUGAUUUCUUUGUGCCAGUGAAAGAAAUCAUACAAGAAGGGGGUAAAAUUUCUGCAAAAAUUGAGUUGUUUUGCAAAAGGACUAUCUUAUCCGAUAAAUAUGUUGGCGAGUUAGACAUCGCUGUACAAUCUAAUUGUAAAUGUACUGAUACUUUUACUGUACCAGUGAAGACGUGUUGUUCAGAUAA